GCCACAACAACCGGAGGCCGUCGCCACAACAACCGGAGGCCGUCGCCAUAACAACCGGAGGCCGUCGCCAUAACAACCGGAGGCCGUCGCCACAACAACCGGAGGCUGCAUCCAUCACAACAAUAGGCUGGUCUCUAAACAACAUGUUCUGCCCCUGUUGUCAUAGUGCCGUCCCCCCGUCCCCCCCCCCAGUCUGGCAGGGCGGGGCUCCAGUCACAGCUGAGAUCCUUUACACUGCAGAGACUCACGUUCUCUACUUUUAAAACACAACGUUGGUGCAAAUACUUCUGUCUUUAAACAUCAAAAACGAGCCAUAAAUCAGCAUCUCUAUAUCGUUAAACUGCUUCUCCACAAUACCACCGGAAGGUAUUUGUGCCAAGGCAGAGAGGAGAGCACACACACACACACACACACACACACACACACACACACACACACACACACACAGUAAGAACGUCCUUGAGUAAACAGCUACAUUGGAACUGGCAGCUCCCUCUGUAUUGCAGAUUAAACACAGAGAAAAAUAACGUUUCAGUGCAAAGUGGAAGAAAAACAACAACAUGACAAUAAAACAACGAAAUAAAACACAGAAAUGAUUGGAAUUCCAAUAACAGGGACCAUGAAUGAAAUAGACACAAGCUUUUUGUUUAGUUUUUUAGGUUUCAGUUUUGAAGCAUAAUAAGGCAUUUUUUGCUGUCCUUCACAUUAUAGAAUUGUCCUGCGUGAUUCAAGUAUACCAACUGAUAUGUGUGUUGUUUAGGAGCGGAAAAACACCGUGGAUAUAUGUGCAGGGAAAAAAACAUAACGCAUUUUCCACAGGGGGGUGACCCCCCACUUCCUGUACGUAUU
ensembl:lncRNA